UCUCUCUCUUCAAAGUUCAAACCCUUCUCUCCCUCUUCGCACCAUCGGCCAUCUCUCUCUCUCUCUUCCCUCCAGUGAACCUCCCAUCUCUCAACCAAAUCUAGGGUUUAUUGCUCUUCUUUCUAAUGAGCCUGAGCUCCCGGUAACAGAGGAGUUGUAAGGAAGAGAACUCUAAUUCCGCGAAAGAGAGAAGUUUCUGUAGAUUCGGCGUAGCAAAGGAUUAAUGGCGAAACCUGUGAUUCUCGGGCAACAAAGCCUCCCUUCUGAUAUCUCCCAGCUCAUUGAGCAGCUCGAGCGCCAUUGCUUGGCUCCUGAUGGAUCGGGAACCUGUAAAUCCUCUUACUACGACCUUCAGCUGGCUAGGGAGGAGAUGUCUAGAGAGCGAUUGUACUACCUGGAAGCCAUGGCUGUUUACUGUGAGGCAGUGGCGAUGGUGGAGGAAUACCAGCAGGCAGUUUCGGUUGCAAAUGUGGGUGGAAUUCGAGACCUCCAAAGUCUUUAUCCUCAGCUUGGGUUGAAAAGCUCCCCUCAGGUUUAUGAAUCCCUUGAGCGUCGACUAGUUGUAGCUGAGGCAACCCAAAGAUUGAGGCUUCCUCUUUUAUCAAAAGAUGGUGAAAUCCAUGAAGAAGAGAUAGAGAAAAUGAGUAUAAUGUCAAGGAGCUCACUGGAUAGUACAAGCACCAGUGUUACGAUCCCAAGUAUCACUUCCUUAGAGUCUAGUAUAAAUAAUUUGGCUAAUAGCAGUGGUGUUGGGGGGGCUGGAAAUAGUUCUACCACUUCUGAUUCCAAUGAAGCGGGGAUUGGUGGUGUCCCGAGCCGUUUCCUUGGAGUUACACCUGGUUUUUUACGUCAAACCCAGCUGAACCAGAUCCCAUUUAAUGAGGACAUCUCAGAGUAUCAGAUGUCAGUAGCUCGUGAAAUAGAGGCACGCCUAAAAGCCAAAUGUGAGAAAGUAUCUGAUGCCUUUGUUAUGGAAGAAAAGGACUCUUCUGCCAUAAGUCAGUUUCAGAGCGCUCGGCUUCCUGAAAGGGUAAAGCUGAUUGUGGAUAAGAUUGAAAGGGAAGAGGCAGCUUUGCGUGAAGAUCUUUGUUCAGCAGAUAGGAAAUUUGCUGAAUAUUAUAAUGUAUUGGAGCAGAUACUUGCAGUGCUGAUCAAACUUGUGAAAGAUCUGAAGCUACAACACCAACAUCAAUAUGAUGAAUUAAGGAAAACAUGGCUGUGCAAGAGGUGUGAAACUAUGAACGCUAAACUGAGAGUCCUGGAGCAUCUUCUCUUACGGGACACGUAUACUCAGGAUUCAAUACCCGCACUUCACAAAAUACGGAAGUACCUCAUGGAGGCCACAGAAGAGGCUUCAAUUGCAUACAAUAAAGCGGUUACACGAUUACGUGAGUAUCAAGGCGUGGAUCCUCACUUUGAUACCAUUGCGAGGCAAUAUCAUGACAUUCUGCAGAAAUUAGAAGAGAUGCAAUGGACCAUACGGCAAGUCGAAAUGGACCUAAAGCGCACAAUGGAGCACCCUGAAUCGUAACUUGUGCUACAUGAGGUUGGAGUAUUACUUAAGUACCAUGGCAGGUUAUAUAUGUGCGAGUUUAAGAGAGGAAUGGACGCCCAACAUUUGGUGUCAAAAUAGUUUGUAAAAAAAAUUUAAAAAUAAAAUGGUGUAGAGAUGUGACAUUGUGAUUGGGGCCAUCUUAGCCAUCCAUUCAAAAUGGGCAGAUAGAUAGAUAUAAGUUUUUUGCAGUAGAGGAAGCAUGGAAAGCUUGCCCUUAGUUUAAAAUCUUUGUUUACGUUGAACUUUGGGAUAAAAACAAUUUUUUCUUACUUGCGUAA